rnacentral:rRNA from 1 species
CGACUGGGCGAAGCCUGAUCCAGCCAUGCCGCGUGUGUGAAGAAGGUCUUCUGAUUGUAAAGCUGUUUUUGUUGGGAGGAAGGGCAUUAUCCUAGUACGUUACUGAUUGGACGUUACGAACAGAGUACGCACCGGUUAACUCUGUGCCACCCGCCGCUGUAAUA